AUGCAGGGUCAUGCAGGCAAGAAAAAAUUGGGGGUCUACUCCUCCAAAACUGGAGUUUGGACACAUGGAGUUGUUUGGGACAAUCCACUUUCGGUAUCCCGUUUCCCAAGAAGCAUAUUUUUCAACAGGAUGCUGCAUUUUUCUUCAGAUAAUAAUUUGGUUGUAGCAAUUGAUGUGGAGGGAAAUCACAGGGUCAUUCGUGGCCCCAUGCCAGAUUCUGCUCGUGGUGUUCCUAAUGUUUAUCUAUCACGGGGACAAUUGCAUUUGGCAAAUGGGAGUGUUUCUGAACUCUCAAUCUGGGCUCUUGAAGAUUUUAGUAGUGAAAACUGGACCCUGAAGCACAGCGUUAGCCACUUACAACUGCUGGGAACAGAGUAUUCAAUGUUCGCGGGGAACUACAGAGUAAUCUCAAUCCACCCAGAACACAAUGUGAUAUUUAUUGUAUGUGAGCAGUUGUACAUGCUGAGUGGCCCAUCACUGACGAAACUAAUGUCAUAUGAAAUGGAUUCCAGGGAGCUGCGUUUUAUAUGUGAUCUUGAAUGGGGUUGCAGGACUCCUUAUCUUCCUUAUGUUCCCUUGCUCUCGGAGCCAUUGGCAGAUGGGCAAUAG
rnacentral:rRNA from 1 species